AUUGAACGCUGGCGGCAGGCUUAACACAUGCAAGUCGAGCGGGGUGAUGGUGCUUGCACUAUCACUUAGCGGCGGACGGGUGAGUAAUGCUUAGGAAUCUGCCUAUUAGUGGGGGACAACAUCUCGAAAGGGAUGCUAAUACCGCAUACGUCCUACGGGAGAAAGCAGGGGAUCACUUGUGACCUUGCGCUAAUAGAUGAGCCUAAGUCGGAUUGGCUAGUUGGUGGGGUAAAGGCCUACCAAGGCGACGAUCUGUAGCGGGUCUGAGAGGAGGAUCCGCAACACUGGGAUAGAGACACGGCCCAGACUCCUCCGGGAGGCAGCAGUGGGGAAGAUUGGACAAUGGGGGGAACCCUGAUCCAGCCAUGCCGCGUGUGUGAAGAAGGCCUUAUGGUUGUAAAGCACUUUAAGCGAGGAGGAGGCUCUUUUGGUUAAUACCCAAGAUGAGUGGACGUUACUCGCAGAAUAAGCACCGGCUAACUCUGUGCCAGCCGCCGCCGUAA
rnacentral:rRNA from 1 species